rnacentral:misc_RNA from 1 species
GAUGAAGAACGUAGCAAAAUGCGAUAAGUAAUGUGAAUUGCAGAAUUCAGUGAAUCAUCGAAUCUUUGAACGCACAUUGCGCCCGCUGGUAUUCCGGCGGGCAGGCCUGUUCGAGCGUCAUUUCAACCCUCAAGCCCCCGGGUUUGGUGUUGGGGAUCGGCUCUGCCCUUCUGGGCGGUGCCGCCCCCGAAAUACAUUGGCGGUCUCGCUGCAGCCUCCAUUGCGUAGUAGCUAACACCUCGCAACUGGAACGCGGCGCGGCCAUGCCGUAAAACCCCAACUUCUGAAUGUUGACCUCGGAUCAGGUAGGAAUACCCGCUGAACUUAAGCAUAUCAAUAAGCGGAGGA